UACAGUGGUACCUCGCAAGACAAAUGCCUCGCAAGACGAAAAACUCGCAAGACGAAAGGGUUUUUGGUUUUUUGAGUUGCUUCGCAAGACGAAUUUCCCUAUGGGCUUGCUUCGCAAGACGGAAACAUCUUGCAAGUUUGUUUCCUUUUUCUUAAAACCGUUAAUACCCAGGGUGCAUUGCUUGAAGAGACGAAAAAUUCGCAAGACGAAAAAAACUCGCAGAACGAAUUAAUUUCGUCUUGCGAGGCACCACUGUA